CUUCAUGACAGCUUAUUUAUUUGUAUUUAUCUAUAUAAAAUUGAUUUGACACCCACCUCUUAACCAAUGCCUCUGAGAGUCCAGAUGCACAAUUUCACAACACGUCCUCUGAAUUUUAUCACCGCAUUAAGAUGGCUGUUGCAGUCUUCCAAAUUGGUGUGGUAGGAAAGUAUGGGGAACUGUCAUUCCUAAAAUUCUGAGUUUGGAAAAGACUCGGGAUUACCCGGGGCAGAUAAUGAAGAACCGAGCCAGGAAUUCUUGCAAGUCCAGUCCCGCCAUAUCUGGAGAACGUUACUUUGGAAAGAUUGUGAAAUUCCCUUGUUUGGUGGAAUGUCGAUUCUUUUUCUUCAGCGAAUAGCUUGGAGUGCCAUAAGUGCUUAAUUAACGAAGGGAACUGCUCACAGGCUCCAGUGGAAGUUUGCAGGGCCAACCAAGACGCCUGUUUCACAGUGAUCAAGAAGUACGAUGGAUUGAGUGCAGAUACCGCAAAGCAAGGCUGUGGAUCUUCAAAUAAUUGCCGAAGGUACCCCAUGGGCCUGAUGGGUUCCUUGUUCCGAACAAUGUGGUGUUGUUCUUCAAAUCUUUGCCAACCCAUCCAUUUGUCUGGUACGUAAAAAAGAGGAGAGCCACAGAAGCGUGUCUGGAACACUUCCUUGCAACACUUCCUGUGUCAGCCCUGAAGCCAUUUUGGGAGCAUCUUCAGGACUGCCACAGCGAGGCCGGUUGGCACUUUGG
rnacentral:lncRNA from 1 species